GCUACAGGAUCAGAUGAUACUUUUCCCUCUGUUUGAAAAGCCUGAGCAGAAGCCUUUAAAUCUCUCUUCACUAGAUAAUCAUAGAUAUACACAUCCAACAUUUUAUCAGCUUCCCAGUUGGUUUGAGACAUGUUGUCGAAUCAAAGAGCUCACACAAACAGUUUACAAUAAUGUCAGAACUAGUUUGUAGAGAGCUCUCUUCACCUCUAAAAUUGCAACCCAGAAAUGA
rnacentral:misc_RNA from 1 species